UACGAAGGGGGCAAGCGUUGUUCGGAAUUACUGGGCGUAAAGGGCGCGUAGGCGGCCUUCUAAGUCGAACGUGAAAUCCCCGAGCUCAACUCGGGAACUGCGUCCGAUACUGGUGGGCUUGAAUCCGGGAGAGGGAUGCGGAAUUCCAGGUGUAGCGGUGAAAUGCGUAGAUAUCUGGAGGAACACCGGUGGCGAAGGCGGCAUCCUGGACCGGCAUUGACGCUGAGGCGCGAAAGCUAGGGGAGCAAACGGG
rnacentral:rRNA from 1 species